AACAACCAUUUUACGGCGUAGGAGACCGUUCAUUUCCAUUGCUGGCCGCCGAGUUACUUCUGACGGUGAUGUUCAGCACAUGAAGCCCUACAGAUGCCGCCGAUUCAACAAUGCUGAUUAUGAUGGGUGGUGAAUUUAACCUAUAUGGCUUUUUCAUUUUAACUUCUUGUUGACUGAAUUGUUUCUUUCUUAGUGCCAAAUUGAUUCUCUUUCUUAGUGCCAAAUUGAUUCUUUUUUGUUUUGCAAUAGCCCUCUCUGCUCUCCUUCUCAUUAAUUUUUCCUUUUCUAGUUGCCUUAUUAGGUCCUCCACAGUCGCCCCAUCAGUCCCUGGCAGUCUGGUCCCUGGAGCAGCUGGCCCUGGCAAAAGUUAUUCCUUCACUGUUGACCCCUGACUGACCCUCGGCACACAAAUCCCUGGAUCACCUGCCACUGGAUCACCUGCCCCUGAAUCACCUGCCCCUGGCAAUGUGGCCUCUUGAUUGCUCUCUGUGUCUCCUGUGAUGUCCUUUUCAACGCUCUUGAAAUCCACCUAAAUUUCUCCCUCAAUCUCUGUAACAAUUACAAGGUAAUGUUGAUGCUAUAUGUAUUUUGCCUUUGCAUUUGCAACUACUGUCAUCUCCAAUGUAAGAAAAUGA
ensembl:lncRNA